rnacentral:rRNA from 1 species
GGAUGCGAUCAUACCAGCACUAAAGCACCGGAUCCCAUCAGAACUCCAAAGUUAAGCGUGCUUGGGCGAGGGUAGUACUAGGAUGUGUGACCUCCUGGGAAGUCCUCGUGUUGCAUUCC